rnacentral:rRNA from 1 species
UACGGAGGAUCCAAGCGUUAUCCGGAAUUACUGGGCGUAAAGAGUUGCGUAGGUGGCAUAGUAAGUAGGUAGUGAAAGCGUGUGGCUCAACCAUACUCACAUUAUCUAAACUGCUAAGCUCGAGGAUGAGAGAGGUUAUUGGAAUUCCCUGUGUAGGAGUGAAAUCCGUAGAUAUAGGGAGGAACACCGAUGGCGUAGGCAGAUAACUGGCUCAUUCCUGACACUAAGGCACGAAAAGCGUGGGGGAGCAAACGGG